rnacentral:rRNA from 1 species
GACGAACGCUGGCGGCGUGCUUAACACAUGCAAGUCGAACGGAAAGGCCCUGCUUUUGUGGGGUGCUCGAGUGGCGAACGGGUGAGUAACACGUGAGUAACCUGCCCUUGACUUUGGGAUAACUUCAGGAAACUGGGGCUAAUACCGGAUAGGAGCUCCUGCUGCAUGGUGGGGGUUGGAAAGUUUCGGCGGUUGGGGAUGGACUCGCGGCUUAUCAGCUUGUUGGUGGGGUAGUGGCUUACCAAGGCUUUGACGGGUAGCCGGCCUGAGAGGGUGACCGGCCACAUUGGGACUGAGAUACGGCCCAGACUCCUACGGGAGGCAGCAGUGGGGAAUAUUGCACAAUGGGCGGAACCCUGAUGCAGCAACGCCGCGUGCUGGAUGACGGCCUUCGGGUUGUAAACCGCUUUCGCCUGUGACGAAGCGUGAGUGACGGUAAUGGGUAAAGAAGCACCGGCUAACUACGUG